UACCCUACGGGGGGCAGCAGUGAGGAAUAUUGGUCAAUGGCCGAGAGGCUGAACCAGCCAAGUCGCGUGAGGGAUGACGGCCCUACGGGUCGUAAACAUCUUUUGUCGGGGAGCAAGACCCGCCUCGUGCAGGCGGAGCGAGAGUACCCGAAGAAAAAGCAUCGGCUAACUCCGCGCCAGCAGCCGCGGUAAUACGUAGGGGGCGAACGUUAUCCGGAAUUACUGGGUGUAAAGGGAGCGUAGACGGCGAGGGAAGCCUGCAGUGG
rnacentral:rRNA from 1 species